rnacentral:rRNA from 1 species
CCUACGGGAGGCAGCAGUGGGGAAUAUUGCACAAUGGGGGAAACCCUGAUGCAGCGACGCCGCGUGAGUGAGGAAGUAUUUCGGUAUGUAAAGCUUUAUCAGCAGGGAAGAAAAUGACGGUACCUGUCUAAGAAGCCCCGGCUAACUACGUGCCAGCAGCCGCGGCAAUACGUAGGUGGCAAGCGUUAUCCGGAUUUACUGGGUGUAAAGGGAGCGUAGACGGCUAAUCAAGUCAGAAGUGAAAACCCAGGGCUCAACUUUGGGACUGCUUUUGAAACUGGGUAGCUAGAGUGCCGGAGAGGUAAGCGGAAUUCGUGGUGUAGCGGUGAAAUGCGUAGAUAUUAGGAGGAACACCAGUGGCGAAGGCAGCUUACUGGACUGUAACUGACGUUGAGGCUCGAAAGCGUGGGGAGCAAACAGGAUUAGAUACCCUUGUAGUC